UACAGAGGGGGCAAGCGUUAUUCGGAAUUAUUGGGCGUAAAGGCGCGUAGGCGGCCGUGCAAGUGGAAGGUGAAAUCCCUCGGCUCAACCGAGGAACUGCCUUUCAAACUGCAUGGCUUGAGUCCGGGAGAGGUGAGUGGAAUUCCCAGUGUAGCGGUGAAAUGCGCAGAUAUCAGGAAGAACACCCGUGGCUAAGGCGGUUCUCUAGUACGGUACUGACGCUGAGACGCGAAAGCGUGGGGAGCGAACAGG
rnacentral:rRNA from 1 species